rnacentral:rRNA from 1 species
GGUACCGUCAGGCCGAUGGGGUAUUGUUCCCACCAGUGUUUCGUCCCUCUCCCACAGGGCUUUACGACCCGAAGGCCUUCAUCACCCACGCGGCGUCGCUGCGUCAGGGUUUCCCCUAUUGCGCAAUAUUCCC